UACGGAGGGUGCAAACGUUGCUCGGAAUCAUUGGGCGUAAAGCGCGCGCAGGCGGCCCGGUAAGUCGGAUGUGAAAUCCCACGGCUCAACCGUGGAACUGCAUUCGAUACUGUCGGGCUAGAGGCAGGUAGGGGAGAUCGGAAUUCCCGGUGUAGCGGUGAAAUGCGCAGAUAUCGGGAGGAACACCGGUGGCGAAGGCGGAUCUCUGGGCCUGUCCUGACGCUCAGGCGCGAAAGCUAGGGGAGCGAACAGG
rnacentral:rRNA from 1 species